UCACUUUGCCUGAUUAGACCUGUCCUUGAUUGACAGCUCCAUCGCUCUCCUGUUGCACAUGCUAGGGUGGGACAAACUCCUGAAGGACUUGCCACCUGUAGUUUCCCUGUGGGUCAUUCGUUUCACAGAAAUUCUAAAACAAGGACAGUGUCAUGCGAAGCUCCUCACACAGAAAGCAUCAUUUACUGAGAGGAGGAGGUCUAAAGCAGAAGUGAUGAAGGCAGCCUCAUACCUGUUGCAGCGGCAGCACUGAGACUCACGGUAAACUCAGUUCCAUCUGGCACCAUCUGCCUUAAUGAACCCAUGUAUUUGUGUGAAUAUGUGUGUGUGUGCGUGUGUGUUUGAAAAACAAUGUAGGUGAGUAGGCUCUAUAUUUUGCAUAUGCGUGUCUGGCCAGCUUUAUUGUACUUAUCGCCUCAUGGAUCUCACUUUUUUCUCCCCAUAAGUUCCAAAUCUGCAAAAACACAUUCUGUUGUAAUAAUAAAACAUGGAAAUCAUCUUGCUGAGGGUGUGGGCUGAAGCUGGCAAUUAUCACAAUAAUAAUUUUAAGAAAGUGAAGGGCAGGCAGAGAGAGGGAGGGGGACAUUAUUUGUGUUGAAGAGCCUUGGCUGCAAGGUGACUCAAACAUGACUAGAAUAUGAACAAGCUAACCCUCCCUCCCUCCCUCUGCUCACCCACACAGAAUGUAUUAGGAAGAAUGAGUCUCUUUCUCUGUCAUUCACCAAGGAAAGUACAAAUUACAGCUCUUCUCUCUUUAAAUGCCGUGAAGCCACAUUAUUUUCAACUGAAAAAAUUAGUUUAGCGCCUCCGUUGAUAUAAUACAAUAAUUAGAAACGGAGUGA